AACGAGCGCUGGCGGCAUGCCUAACAUAUGCAAGUCGAACGAGACCUUCGGGUCUAGUGGCGCACGGGUGCGUAACGCGUGGGAACCUGCCCUUAGGUUCGGAAUAACUCCCCGAAAGGGGUGCUAAUACCGGAUAAUGUCUUCGGACCAAAGAUUUAUCGCCUUUGGAUGGGCCCGCGUUGGAUUAGCUAGUUGGUAGGGUAAAAGCCUACCAAGGCGACGAUCCAUAGCUGGUCUGAGAGGAUGAUCAGCCACACUGGGACUGAGACACGGCCCAGACUCCUACGGGAGGCAGCAGUGGGGAAUAUUGGACAAUGGGCGAAAGCCUGAUCCAGCAGUGCCGCGUGAGUGAUGAAGGCCUUAGGGUUGUAAAGCUCUUUUACCCGGGAUGAUAAUGACAGUACCGGGAGAAUAAGCUCCGGCUAACUCCGUG
rnacentral:rRNA from 1 species